UCUGAUAAUGAUUUCUGCUUGCAUCAUGAAUUACAUUUGAGUGAGUGGCGGAACUGGUGAGUAACUGUGGGAAACCUGCCCAGAAGCGGUGAUAACACCUGCGAAACAGAUUGCUAAUACCGCAUAACAACUUGGAUGCAUGGUCCGAGUUUGAAAGAUCCUUCGGCUAUCACUUAGGAUGGUCCCCGGCGUAUUAGCUAGAUGGUGAGCAAACGGCUCACCAUGGCAAUGAUACGUAGCCGACCUGAGAGGGUAAUCGGCCACAUUGGCGACUGAGACACGGCUAAACUCCUACGGGAGAAGCAGUAGGGAAUCUUCCAGAUGGACGAAAGUCUGAUGGAGCAACGCUCGUGAGUGAUAAGGGUUUCGCUCAGUAAAACUCUGUUGUUAACAAGAACAUAUCUGAGAGUAACUGUUCAGGUAUUGACGGUAUUUAACCAGAAAGCCACGGCUAACUACGUGCCAGCAGCCGCGGUAAUACGUAGGUGGCAAGCGUUGUCCGGAUUUAUUGGGCGUAAAGCGAGCGCAGGCGGUUUUUUAAGUCUGAUGUGAAAGCCUUCGGCUCAACCGGAUAAGUGCAUCGGAAACUGGGAUCUUGAGUGCAGAAGAGGACAGUGGAACUCCAUGUGUAGCGGUGAAAUGCGUAGAUAUAUGGAAGAACACCAGUGUGAAGGCGGCUGUCUGGUCUGUAACUGACGCUGAGGCUCGAAAGUAUGGGUAGCAAACAGGAUUAGAUACCCUGGUAGUCCAUACCGUACCGAUGAAUGCUAAGUGUUGGAGGGUUUCCGCCCUUCAGUGCUGCAGCUAACGCAUUAAGCAUUCCGCCUGGGGAGUACGGCCGCAAGGCUGAAACUCAAAGGAAUUGACGGGGGCCCGCACAAGCGGUGGAGCAUGUGGUUUAAUUCGAAGCUACGCGAAGAACCUUACCAGGUCUUGACAUACUAUGCACUCUAAGAGAUUAGACGUUCCCUUCGGGGACCAUGGAUACAGGUGGUGCAUGGUUGUCGUCAGCUCGUGUUCGUGAGAUGUUGGGUUAAGUCCCGCCAACGAGCGCAACUUUAUUAU
rnacentral:rRNA from 1 species